UAUGAUUAGGAUUGCUUAUUUUUGUUCGGUGCAAAGGAUAGUAUGAGUAUCUUCGUCUUGAGUUUCGCUUUGAGCAAGGAUAGUAAUACAUUGUGCGAUUACGCACUAGGAGGCAACAAUCAUGGAAACAGGUACAGUAAAAUGGUUUAACGCAGAAAAAGGAUUCGGUUUCAUCGAGCGCGAAGGUAACGACGAUGUAUUCGUUCACUUCUCAGCGAUCCAAGGCGAAGGCUUCAAAACGUUAGAAGAAGGUCAAACAGUUUCUUUCGAUAUCGAAGACGGCGCUCGUGGACCACAAGCUGCUAACGUAACUAAAGGUUAAUAGCUUUUUAAAAACAGACUUUCCAAGGAAAGUCUGUUUUU
rnacentral:sRNA from 1 species